AUAAACUCAAAGGAGAAAUCCGACGAUUUUUCAAAUAGAUAACCGUUUCGAGGUCAACGAGUACUGUCGGUACGGCAAAAAAAAAGGAAUCAAUCGGUUUUACCUAGCUCGAGUUGCUAGUUCCAAUAGAUAAAGCAGCCAAGCAGCUACAGUGCUACACUCUGGGGACAUGAACAUGGGGGCUCAUGUACAUUAAAUUAGAUUAGAUUAAACUUUAUUGUCAUUGUGCAGUAGUACAAAGACAACGGAAUGCAGUUUCUAACCACCAGAGCAAAAAAGCAGAAGAG